GGUUCCAUAGUGUAGCGGUUAUAGCAUGUCUGCUUUACACGCAUAAGGUCCUGGGUUUGCGCCCCAGUGAAGCCA
rnacentral:tRNA from 1 species